rnacentral:rRNA from 1 species
CCAAGCCGCGAGGUGGAGCUAAUCCCAUAAAACCGAUCGUAGUCCGGAUCGCAGUCUGCAACUCGACUGCGUGAAGUCGGAAUCGCUAGUAAUCGUGAAUCAGAAUGUCACGGUGAAUACGUUCCCGGGCCUUGUACACACCGCCCGUCACACCAUGGGAGUGGGUUGCACCAGAAGUAGCUAG